GGGUGUUUCCCUUGCAUCGAUUUCCGUGCUCUGUUGGUGUCACAAACCAGACACAAAUGAACUUUGGGUGUUUCCCUUGCAUCAAUUUCCGUGCUCUGUUGGUGUCACAAACCAGACGCAAAUGAACUUUGAUCUGAUUGAACCAUCUUCUGACUGUGGAUUUGGUCUAGACUUGGGUUGGUCUAAUUUGAGUGUAAUCUGGUUUGUUAAGCUUGAUCUAAUCUGGGCUGAUCAGAGCUGGUUUGGUGUGGGCCGGUUUGAUCUGGACCUGUAAUCUGGUUUGGUUCAAUUGGGCCUAAUCUGUUUUGGGCCACAAUUGGCUGUGGUUUUAAAAGGUUUUUGAUUUUGGGGUUUUAGUUUAUUUGUUCUUAGGGUCUAAGUCUAAUAUUAGGGGCUCCAUUUUAGGGAUCUAUGAACUUAAGGGUUUAAGGGAUUAGAAAUAGUUUAAAUUAUGUUUCUUAGUUAAUUAAAUAAUUAAUGUUUGUGUUUUAAUCAGGGGUUCGUGAUAUCUGUGGCAGGGAUUCUUAAGCUAGCCCAGGUAGGUGACCUAUUGCUUUAAAGUAGAAUUUUAACAUG
rnacentral:lncRNA from 1 species